GACGAACGCUGGCGGCGUGCUUAACACAUGCAAGUCGUACGGUAAGGCCCUUUCGGGGGUACACGAGUGGCGAACGGGUGAGUAACACGUGAGUAACCUGCCCACAACUUUGGGAUAACGCUAGGAAACUGGUGCUAAUACUGGAUAUGUGCUCCUGCUGCAUGGUGGGGGUUGGAAAGCUCCGGCGGUUGUGGAUGGACUCGCGGCCUAUGAGCUUGUUGGUGGGGUAGUGGCCUACCAAGGCGGCGACGGGUAGCCGGCCUGAGAGGGUGACCGGCCACAUUGGGACUGAGAUACGGCCCAGACUCCUACGGGAGGCAGCAGUGGGGAAUAUUGCACAAUGGGCGCAAGCCUGAUGCAGCAACGCCGCGUGCGGGAUGACGGCCUUCGGGUUGUAAACCGCUUUCAGCAGGGACGAAGCUUUUUGUGACGGUACCUGCAGAAGAAGCACCGGCUAACUACGUG
rnacentral:rRNA from 1 species